AGCGAACGCUGGCGGUAGGCCUAACACAUGCAAGUCGAACGGACGCACCGUAAGUGCUUGCUGUCACGGGUGGAGCGUGUCGGAAGGGUGCGGUAUGCAUCGGAUUCUACUUUUUAGUUGGGGCUAAUGUCGGGAGACUUACGCUAGUACCACAUACGACCUCCGGGUGAAAGCAGGGGAUCUUCGGACCUUGCGCGGUGGUAUGGGCCGAUGUCGGAUUCGCUAGUUGGCGGGGCAGAGGGACACCACGGCCACGAUCGGUAGCUGGUCUGAGAGGAUGAUCAGCCACACUGUCACGGAGGCACGCCCCACACUCCGACGCGAGGCAGCAGUGCGGAAUAUUGGACAAUGGGCGCAAGCCUGAUCCAGCCAUACCGCGUGGGUGAAGAAGGCCUUCGGGUUGUAAAGUCCUGUUGUUGGGAGAGAAAAGCAGCACUUUAAUACCCCGCGGUUCUGACGGUACCCAAAGAAGAAGCACCGGCUAACUUCGUG
rnacentral:rRNA from 1 species